GCUGAAGUAGCUCAUUUGGUAGAGCAGCUCAUUCGUAAUGAGCAGGUAGUGAGUUCAAAUCUCGUCUUCAGCUCCA
rnacentral:tRNA from 1 species